CUUUCAGUCCUCAAAUACUCAUCAAAAGCAGCUCAUACCUUAGGAACGGUAUGACAGAAAAUUUUAGUGGUUUUGAAACUGUGACUUUUUCAAACCGUGGUAUACCCUUGAAAUCGGUAACUGGCCCAUGCCUACU